GACAGAGGCCUCGAGCGUUAGGCGGAAUCACUGGGCUUAAAGCGUGUGUAGGCGGCGGCCUAAGUACCUUGUGAAAUCCCACGGCUCACCCGUGGAACUGCUCGGUAUACUGGGUCGCUUGAGCCACUUAGGGGCUACCGGAACAAAUGGUGGAGCGGUGAAAUGCGUAGAUAUCAUUUGGAACGCCAAUGGUGAAAACAGGUAGCUGGGAGUGUGCUGACGCUGAGACACGAAAGCCAGGGGAGCAAACGGG
rnacentral:rRNA from 1 species